rnacentral:lncRNA from 1 species
GAGCUCUUCAGUAGCGGGGACUGGCUAGACGGUGGUGGAGAUGCGGCAUUGAAGUUUCUCCAGCAGCUGACCACGGUUGGCAAUGAUAGGAGGUUGACAAUGGAUCGAGCAGCACUAACAACGGCGGACAACGAGUGGACAAUUAUACCGAGCACCACCGCCACCUCCUUACCCCUAACCGACGACGAUCACAACGGGACGAGUCCAACGUCAUCGUCCAACUCUAGCUUCGCACCAGGUACUCCUUCGCCACCUCCUCCCCCGCCACUUCCAUCACCUCCGAGGUUGGCCAUUUCGCGUUCUCCACCUCCUGCUCCACCACCACCAGUUUCUGUUACUGGUCGUCCCCCUCCUCCGCCACCUCCACCACCUCCGUUCAAGCUUCCAAGUUCUACUGCUGGAGCUACUGCAAAGCCACAACCGCCACCGCCACCGCCACCUCCACCUCCUCCACCGUUUCCUCGAGGGAAUUUAGGUGCCCCACCUCCGCCUCCACCACCGUUGCCUCGAGGGAAUU